rnacentral:rRNA from 1 species
GUGGGGAAUAUUCCGCAAUGGACGAAAGUCUGACGGAGCAACGCCGCGUGAGUGAUGAAGGUUUUCGGACUGUAAAGCUCUGUUGUUUGGGACGAAAGUGCCUGUUGCGAACAGUUACGGGUAUUGACGGUACUAAACGAGGAAGCCACGGCUAACUACGUGCCAGCAGCCGCGGUAAUACGUAGGUGGCAAGCGUUGUCCGGAAUUAUUGGGCGUAAAGAGCAUGUAGGCGGGAAUCUAAGUCUGUUGUUAAAAUGCGGGGCUCAACCCCGUAUUGCGAUGGAAACUGGGUUUCUUGAGUGCAGGAGAGGAAAGGGGAAUUCCCAGUGUAGCGGUGAAAUGCGUAGAUAUUGGGAGGAACACCAGUGGCGAAGGCGCCUUUCUGGACUGUGUCUGACGCUGAGAUGCGAAAGCCAGGGUAGCGAACGGGAUUAGAAACCCCAGUAGUCC